GAUGAACGCUGGCGGUCUGCUUAACACAUGCAAGUCGAACGAACUCUUCGGAGUGAGUGGCGGACGGGUGAGUAACGCGUGAGAAUCUGCCUGUGGGUCGGGGACAACCACUGGAAACGGUGGCUAAUACCGGAUGAGCCGAAAGGUAAAAGAUUUAUUGCCCACAGAUGAGCUCGCGUCUGAUUAGCUAGUUGGUAAGGUAAAAGCGUACCAAGGCGACGAUCAGUAGCUGGUCUGAGAGGAUGAGCAGCCACACGUGGGACUGAGACACGGCCCAGACUCCUACGGGAGGCAGCAGUGGGUAAUUUUCCGCAAUGGGGCGAAAGCCUGGACGGAGCGAAGACCGCGGUGGGGGAGGUAAGGGUUUUUGGAGUCGUUAAACCCCUUUGUCAAGGAGAAGCUCUGACGGUACUUGACGAAUAAGCCUCGGCUAACUCCGUGCCCAGC
rnacentral:rRNA from 1 species